rnacentral:rRNA from 1 species
AGAUUGAACGCUGGCGGCAUGCCUUACACAUGCAAGUCGAACGGCAGCACGGGAGCAAUCCUGGUGGCGAGUGGCGAACGGGUGAGUAAUACAUCGGAACGUGCCCAAUCGUGGGGGAUAACGCAGCGAAAGCUGUGCUAAUACCGCAUAAGAUCUACGGAUGAAAGCAGGGGAUCGCAAGACCUUGCGCGAAUGGAGCGGCCGAUGGCAGAUUAGGUAGUUGGUGAGGUAAAGGCUCACAAGCCUUCGAUCGGUAGCUGGUCUGAGAGGACGACAGCACACGUGGACUGAGACACGGCCCAGACGUCCGUACGGAGGCAGCGAGGUAGGGAAUUUUGGACAAGUGGGUACGAAAGCCGUAGACGUACAGCCAUACGCCGGCGUGCGAGGAGUAGAACGGUCCUUCGGUUAGUAACCGU